rnacentral:misc_RNA from 1 species
AAGGAUUUUAACACUCUUAUGGCUAAGUUUUGGAGGCUAUUGCUUGGUCUAAAUGCCCUGCGAGCUGCGUGAUUGGCUUAUAGAAUGCUUGGUUAGAAGGUACGCUUAGUCUGUUCGAUAUGUCCCUUUCUGAAUGUACAUAACGUGUAUUGUGAGCUGAAGAAUAUGUUUUAAGAAUGUCAUUUAUAUAUUUACAGAGUUAAAUGUAAUACUUUUGGAUUACUGAUGUUCAAAGACUUGGUUUU